GUGGGGAAUAUUGGACAAUGGGCGAAAGCCUGAUCCAGCCAUGCCGCGUGUGUGAAGAAGGUCUUCGGAUUGUAAAGCACUUUAAGUUGGGAGGAAGGGCAGUAAGUUAAUACCUUGCUGUUUUGACGUUACCGACAGAAUAAGCACCGGCUAACUUCGUGCCAGCAGCCGCGGUAAUACGAAGGGUGCAAGCGUUAAUCGGAAUUAAUGGGCGUAAAGCGCGCGUAGGUGGUUUUGUAAGUUGGAGGUGAAAUCCCCGGGCUCAAACUGGGAACUGCCUUCAAAACUGCAUGACUAGAGUACGGUAGAGGGUAGUGGAAUUUCCUGUGUAGCGGUGAAAUGCGUAGAUAUAGGAAGGAACACCAGUGGCGAAGGCGACUACCUGGACUGAUACUGACACUGAGGUGUGAAAGCGUGGGGAGCAAACAGGAUUAGAUACCCUGGUAGUCC
rnacentral:rRNA from 1 species